rnacentral:rRNA from 1 species
AUUGAACGCUGGCGGCAUGCCUAACACAUGCAAGUCGAACGAGUGGCGGACGGGUGAGUAAUGUCUGGGAAACUGCCCGAUGGAGGGGGUUAACUACUGGAAACGUUAGCUAAUACCGCAUACCAUCGGAUGUGCCCAGAUGGGAUUAGCUAGUAGGUGGGGUAACGGCUCACCUAGGCGACGACCCCUAGCUGGUCUGAGCGGUUGACAGGCCACACUGGAACUGUGACACGGUCCAGAUUCCUACGGGAGGCAGCAGGGGGGAAUAUUGCACAAUGGGCGCAGGCCUAAUACAGCCAGGCCGCGUGUAUGAGGAGGGCUUUCGGGUUGUAAAGUACUUUCAGCGAGGAGGCGUUAAUCGCAGAAGAAGCACCGGCUAACUCCGUGCCAGCAGCCGCGGUAAUUC